rnacentral:snRNA from 8 species
AUCUGUUCUUAUCAGUUUAAUAUCUGAUACGUCCCCCAUCGGGGGACUACAUAUUAAAUGGAUUUUUCGAACAGGGAGUCGGAAAUGGGGCUUGCUCCGUCCGCUCCACGCAUCGACCCGGUAUUGCAGUACCUCCGGGAAUGGUGCAACACUU